GCCUUCGUAGCUCAGUCAGUAGAACAUAAGACUCUUAAUCUCAGGGUUGUGCAUUCAAGCCCCAUGCUGGGCA